rnacentral:rRNA from 1 species
UACGUAGGGGGCAAGCGUUGUCCGGAUUUAUUGGGCGUAAAGAGCGUGUAGGCGGUUAGGUAGGUCCGUUGUGAAAACUCGAGGCUCAACCUCGAGACGCCGAUGGAAACCAUCUGACUAGAGUCCGGAAGAGGAGAGUGGAAUUCCUGGUGUAGCGGUGAAAUGCGCAGAUAUCAGGAGGAACACCAAUGGCGAAGGCAGCUCGCUGGGACGUUACUGACGCUGAGACGCGAAAGCGUGGGGAGCAAACAGG